ensembl:lncRNA
AGAAAACUGUCCCAAACCCCCUGCCCGUCGUCCGGGGCCAGGGCCGAAGAGGCCUGCCAGAAACUGAAGCUGCACCGGGUGGUCCUGCUGUGGUCCCGGAGGCUGGCCCAGCACCGGCAGGCAGACUCUUUCUCCCAGAAAAGGAGGCUGCGGAUUCUUCAGAACGCCCUGCAGCAGUGGCGGUGGAAGGCCCAGGCAGCAGGGUCAUGCCCUGCCAGCUCCACUGACUGCCCCCUGGAGCCCUUUGCUGGCUCUCAGGACUCGGAGGAGCAGCCCCCCUCCUCAGGAUGCUCCGGCAGUGCUCCAAGUGCCCCCAGAAGCUCAUCAGAGGGGGUCCACAGCCCGACUGAUUGCAGCAGCUCCUUCCUGAGCCCAGCAGGGGAUGAGGUGCUGCCCCUGCGCUUGAGGUCACUUUCUUUGGAGGCCCCGGACUCCUGGAGGAUCUCCUUCCCUCUUGAGUGAGCGCUGAGACCGACAUCUGAGCCAAUUUUUGUCCUGGUCUCAUCCCCAGCCCUUAGCACAGUGCCCGGCAUUCAGUAGGUGCUUAAUAAGUGCUUUAAUCAUGUCAUGACUUGGCCUUAGGGUGCUGGUACCUCUCAGUUUGCAGGUGCGAAGGGUGGAGGUAAUUUUGUUCUCUACCUGCCUCCUACCCCCCACUCAAGCUCCUGUGAGCCCCUCCUUUGCCUGGUCCUCUGGGUGACCAUUGAGAGACGGAUCAGGGAGUAGCCGAGGGACCCCACCCCCACCCCCUGCUCAGGUGGGCUGCCCAUGGGCAAAGCCUUCCUUCCUCUGAAAAAUGGUGGCAGGAAUUCAAUUUAAAAACAAACCCUGGCUACCUCCCAGAAUGGGUUUCCAUCAUCCCCAAGGAAGGGGGCUCUUCACUCUUUUGCUCGCUGUCAGGGCGGUCCCCCAUCCUUGCCCCUGGGCAGCCAGUGGCUGGGUAGCUUUGCUGCCUUACUCUUUCCUAGGCAAAUGUGGCCCCAGCUCUGUAACCAGCAGGAUCCUGGACCCAGGAGACAGCUGUUGGCCCGCCUUCCUCCAGGAGAAGAAACGGGCCCCCUGGGAAAAGCUGUUCAGGUUCCCAGAGACCCCAGCCACUUGGAUGCCCCCCAGCAAGAGAUAAGGUGGCAGCAGGGGGCUCAAGAAGCCCCAGAACCCAAGCCGCAUUGGCAGGUCACACUCCAGAUCUGGAUCCUCACUGACCCAGUUGAGUUGACCGACCCUCAGGGACAGGACUGGAGGACAGCUGGGAAUCAGAUCCCCCGCUCCAGGCAGCAGGGUCUCCUGAGCUCUCCCUGGGCCCACCAGGAUGCAGCACUGCCCACAGGGAUGCCGAGGCAUCAGCUGACCAAGGACAAGGAGGGCACCUUUGUGGGCACCAGACCCAGUGUCCUGCACCCCCAGAGACUGGCCUUCAGAGGAAACCACGUCCUGGGUGCAGAUCCCGACACUCAACGCCAGCAGGCCGGCAACUACUGGACGAGGGCCACAGCCUUGGCUCCAGACAAGAGGAAAUCCCACAGCCACAUUGGACAGAGGAAGAUGUUAGCAAUUCUGGGUGGCCCAAAGCAGAACUUUCUGCUGCCUUCUUUCCCGUGUUUGCCUCUCCACUGUAGACGGACCAGCCAGGAGAAGCUGGGGAAGGCUCCUAGAGAACCAGCAGGCAGCGCCCGGUCGGUCCGGAUCCCCAGGAGCAGAGGACGCCCGAGAGCAGUGGUGCUGGAGGAAACAUGGCUAGAGAGAAAGUACCUCCAGAGGUGGAGACACAAGGUAUUGCUUCAAAGGUUCCAUGGCCAGCAAAGGAGGAGGAGGCUGGCGGAAGUCUGGCAAUGCUGGAUAGGAGCUCAGGGAUCAGAGCAGCUGGCUCGGACAUUGGUUAGGCAGCGGCGGCUGGAAUGGGGCUGGAGGAUGUGGCGCAGGCGGUGGCUGCAGCUUCAGGCGGCUCUGUGUUUGCGAGAAGACCACAGAGUCCUCUCUCAGGCCUUUGGAAGAUGGUACCAGCGCUGGGCAGCCCGGGUGCCCGGGAAAGGGAGCACGGGCCAGGGAUCAGGGGCCAGCGUCGUAUCCCAUUAGUCACAGCCCGUAGGAGUGGGGGGCAGGACCUGCUCAGCCGUCUCUGUCAGGGGAAGAAGUCCAGCCCUGCCCCCAUCCCAUUCUACCCACCAGGGCCGACAAAGAAAGUCCAGCAAACUCAUCUGAUAAAGUUUUAAUGAAAAAUAGCCUCGGGGCAGAAACCCUGCCUUUGACAGACAAUAAAGUACUAUUCCUUUCCCAGUCUUCUUCUAGGUUGAAUCUGUGCCCUGCAUUGGAGGGCCCAGCCUACUCUGGGCCAGAUUUGGAGCAAUAUAUUUCAGUUUAUAGGUGUGACCUUUAACCGGAGGGGACCAGAAACUUGCCAUGUGAUAGAAAAAACCCAAAACUUGGGGAUCCAGAACAUAACUACCUUCAAAUGCUUUUAUGGAGAGAAGGAAUGCGCCUCAGAGGGGGGGAGAGGAGAGAAGAGCUGGCUCCAGGCAGAUUUAAACUCGCCCCAAAGGCUGGGCGACUGCAGCCGAGACAGAGGCUUCCAAGUGGCCUGGGCUUGUAAGCAGAACUUGGGAUGCUCUAAGGGGAUCCUGUGUAGGCCAUUGGUCUAAAACGACCACCAAAGUCCCCCCGCUGUGAUCUGGGGAGCUCCCACCUCCAGGGUCGGUGCUGGCUGGAACUGGGGGGUCACCCUUCCCAGGUUCUGCUUUGCUGCAAGUUUCCUUCUGUCCACCCCCCUUUCCUCCCUAGCUAGGGUUUCUUUCUGCUGACCUAGCACAGGCUCUAAGACAGCUGAUCUCAGCUCUAGAAGGGGAGGGGGUGGAAUGGGAGUGGGGAGGAUGGAGAGAGGCCCUUAACCCUGUAGCUGCCAGAUUGCACGAUUGACCCAAGUGUCAUGGAAAGUGCUAGUUGCUGAUAUUCAUUCACACACGAGACAAACGAGGAGAGGAAGGAGCGGGUCAGACCUGAGCAUAGUAGAUAAAGAGGUAUAAAAAAAGCAGCAGAUAUCAGCCAGGGUCGGUCAAAAGGCCCCCUGAGAGAAUGCUGGCGGGCCCAGCAGGGAAGGAAAUGAGGGGCCCCAAAGCUUCCCAGCCACGUGACCGGCUCCUUUUGGUCUAGCACUGACCCCUUUGCCCUCCAGGGUCAUAGCUCUUCUCCUCCUCUACCUUCUAAGACCCCUGAAGAGGAAAAAGGGCCCCUAUAAAUGCUUUGGAGUAGCUUGAAACCCCAUAAGGCGUUUUGUUUCAGAAGGGGAGUCUGGAAACAAAGCAGCUUAUGAGGUUAGUGUAGUGCAGAGAGCCAGUCCUGGAAUCCAGAAGGCGAGAGGGAGAGUCCACCUUGGGAGUUUCCGGCCAGUCCAGAAAGUAAAAAUGCCAGUAAAUAUGGCAGCCUCGAACAAGGCUCCAGGGGAAGGGAAGCAUUGCUCCAUGGGAGGCAGAAGAGUUCCUGCUGAGCUCUGCUUUCACAGAUGGGGAAACCGAGGCAAAGCCCAGCAUCCCUGGGAGGAGGCGGGGCAUUUCCAGGCACGUCUGGGACUGACCCUGCUUGUGGCCAGUUCUUUGGAAGGCCAGCACUCCAGCCCUGUGUUCAGGCUCACUUCCCCUCCCCAGGAGAACUGAGCCACUGGCUCUCCACGGCCUGGAGCAGGGAUGUUGCAGGACGGAGUCACUCCCCAACAAAAGGGGGAAAUAGUAUACGUAGAGUGUGGGGGAAAUCCCACAGGCCUUGAUAGUGCGGAACAGACUCAGGGCAAAUCCAAGCACAGAGGGGUGACCAGUCAGCUGCCCCCCCUGGGGGAGUGAUGGGAGCCAGGGCGAGGGUGAUGGGAUGGGAUGGAGAAGAGAACACUGGAGAAUCCUCGAAGGAGGGGAGUGGGGGGAGAGGAGCCUGGGGAGCUCAGGAGUCAGGCUGAGGAGGGCAAUGGGGACGAUUCCCUGAGCUUCCCCGUCUCUCACUGAGGGUCAGGCCGGCUGAGGAGCUCAAAGGUGUCUUCUAGGACCUGCCACAAACAGUUGUCCAAGGGGAACUCGUUAUCCACUAGGUUGACCAGGUGAUAGUUGUCGUGGAUAUACUGGAUGAUCAUCCGCGAGGGGGAUUCCUCUUCAUACAGUUUCCCCCAUUGCUCAAUCCACAGGGCAAAGGCCUCAUCCUAGACACACAGAGGCAAGGUCAGUGGGAGCCGGGCUGGGGCUGGACAAGGGGCAGGGCCGGAGCCCGACAUCCCUCCUCUUCUUCAUUGCCCCUUCCCUCCCAUCCCCCACUUGGCAAGAUGGCUGAGAGCCCAGAGAGCCUCAGCUAAGGAGUAAACUCCCCUUCUCAAAAUGCCACUUGAGCAGAAAGGGAGGCCCUGGCAGCCCAAGGAACGUGGCGAUAAAUGUGGAAAUAUGGCUAGAAGAAUUGCACGUUUAACAUGAUGUCUGGGAUAGGGGGAGCCGGGGAGGGAGGGAGAAACAUUUGGAACACAAGAUUUUGCAAGGGUGGAUGGGUGUUGAAAACUAUCUUUGCCUUGCAUGUAUUUGGGAAAAUAAAAAGCCAUUGUUUAAAAACAAAACAAAACAAAACAAAACAAAACAAAAAAAAAAAAAACCAAAAAAAAAAAAAAAAACAGGAACCGGACUGGCUGGGAAGGUAGGUCAGUUUAAAGUGACUGCAGACAAGUUUUCCCAGCUUCUCAGGUCACCCUCUCCCCAAGCGGAGUCAGAGCUCCUCACCUCGGAUGUCCGGUCUGCCAGUUUUGCAGAGGGCGGCCAGCGAUUGUGAGUGCAAA